rnacentral:rRNA from 1 species
UACAGAGGUCCCAAGCGUUGUUCGGAUUCACUGGGCGUAAAGGGUGCGCAGGUGGGUUGGUAAGUUUGGUGUGAAAGCUUCGGGCUUAACCCGGAAAAUGCAUUGAAUACUACUGAUCUGGAGGAUUGGAGGGGGGACUGGAAUUCUUGGUGUAGCAGUGAAAUGCGUAGAUAUCAAGAGGAACACCAGUGGCGAAGGCGAGUCCCUGGACAAUACCUGACACUGAGGCACGAAAGCCAAGGGAGCAAACAGG